GAGGAAAGCGGGCGGCGUGCCUAAUACAUGCAAGUCGAGCGAACAGACGAGGAGCUUGCUCCUCUGACGUUAGCGGCGGACGGGUGAGUAACACGUGGAUAACCUACCUAUAAGACUGGGAUAACUUCGGGAAACCGGAGCUAAUACCGGAUAAUAUAUUGAACCGCAUGGUUCAAUAGUGAAAGACGGUUUUGCUGUCACUUAUAGAUGGAUCCGCGCCGCAUUAGCUAGUUGGUAAGGUAACGGCUUACCAAGGCAACGAUGCGUAGCCGACCUGAGAGGGUGAUCGGCCACACUGGAACUGAGACACGGUCCAGACUCCUACGGGAGGCAGCAGUAGGGAAUCUUCCGCAAUGGGCGAAAGCCUGACGGAGCAACGCCGCGUGAGUGAUGAAGGUCUUCGGAUCGUAAAACUCUGUUAUUAGGGAAGAACAAAUGUGUAAGUAACUAUGCACGUCUUGACGGUACCUAAUCAGAAAGCCACGGCUAACUACGUG
rnacentral:rRNA from 1 species